GAUCUGAUUUGCUACACAAACGCUGGCGACUUAACGCUCGGCAGCCAAGGGAAACAAACGGUGGCUGCCCAGACGAAUAUAUAUCAAAUAAUACAAAUUACCGACCACGAAUCCAAAUCACGGCAUCAAAGUAAACACAAAUCAACGGUUUCUGCACCGUUUGCCGGGCGGGCAAUAAAAACUCUUCAAUGUCAAGUGGGUCGGGUCGCCCAGUUGCAGAGCCCAUAAAUCACGUGUCUCGGGCAGAUGAAGACGUGACCGGAGUGCGUAAAAAACCCAAUAAAACAAUAUAAUGCCUGUAAACUAACAAUAAUAACAGCCCCCCUCGGUAAUGGAGCCCCACAAUGCCAUAAAGGCAGCCCGGUGAUUGACCAACGUCACAGCGUCGCUUGGCGUUUUUCAGAACAUCCCAUAUCGUGACCGAGCCGAUGACAGACUCCCUGUCAAAUCUGCUCAGACCGAGACGGUCUUUGAACGCUUUGAUUGGGUUUUAUUGACACGGCCAAGUACUCACUUAGCCAUGACUUGUUUGCUUUGCCGCUGGUUGCAUACCAGUCAAGAAACCCCAGAGAAAGAAGCUCGAAGUAUGUUUAAUUUGUCACUAAUUUUAUUGAUGAAAUCUUCUUUGUGGCGAGCUUGAUGACUGAUAUCCUUAUCAAAAAGAAAAGCGCCCCCCUAGUGGCGCAGCAGCAUGUUGCUGACCUUGGCCUCGGCCUUGGGCGAGAUUUUCU